CAGAUGAGAGGCAGCUUGGAGAACCCAGGCGUUGCAGCUACAUUUGACACAAAGGCCUGUCUAGUGCAAGUACCGCAUGCCUACAAAGACACAAUAGUCCAUAAUGCACUGAGAAACAAAUGAAAAAAUACGUACAAUACAUCUGUUUUACUUCUUCAUAUGCCAUGUUGAGUCAUCCUUGUGGAAUUUGUACCUGGCUAUGCAGAAGGUUUAUUAUGAAUACUUUUCUUGGUGACAGCAAACCUGUCUUGAGCAGAAGUACACACAAACAGGAGAAUCUUUGCACCAGGAUUGCCCUGGUAUAA
rnacentral:lncRNA from 1 species